rnacentral:rRNA from 1 species
AAAAACAUCGCCUCCUGCGAAACCCAACGUAUAGGAGGUCUUACCUGCCCAGUGACAAAGUGUUUAACGGCCGCGGUAUUUUGACCGUGCUAAGGUAGCGCAAUCACUUGUUUUUUAAAUGAAGACCUGUAUGAAUGGUGAAACGAAGGCUUAACUGUCUCCCCUUUCCAGUCAAUGAAACUGAUCUGCUCGUGCAGAAGCGAGCAUAUAUAUACAAGACGAGAAGACCCUUUGGAGCUUUAGACAAAUAAUCAACUGUAUUCAAACCCAAAUAAAAUGGGAUAAAAUAAAACAACCACUGAUCAAAAGUCUUCGGUUGGGGCGACCAUGGGGGAAAAUAAAACCCCCACGCGGACUGGGCUUCUCCUCAAACUAAGAGAGACAUCUCUAAGCCACAGAAUAUCUGACCACUAAGAUCCGGCCAAUUGACCGAUCAACGAACCAAGUUACCCUAGGGAUAACAGCGCAAUCCCCUCCAAGAGUCCAUAUCGACAAGGGGGUUUACGACCUCGAUGUUGGAUCAGGACAUCCUAAUGGCGCAGCCACUAUUAAGGGUUCGUUUGUUCAACGAUUAAAGUCCUACGUGAUCUGAG